GGGCUGCAUGAAGCAAGGGCGAAAGUCCCCUUCGCCCGGGCGCUGCCCUCUGCCUGCUGUCCCCUGUGCUCCUGUUCCCCGUGGCUGCCCAGGGACAGGUGUGUGGGAUGGAGGACGCGGGAGAGGCUGAGUCCUCCCCAGUGGACCCCCAGAUGCAGACCCUGAGGCAAGGGAGAGUGAGAAAGUGAAGGAAAGAACACAGCUGGAAAUGCAACCAAGAAGGAACCCCAGCCCGGACCACACCAGAAUGAGAUGUCUCCACACACAGAGAGCUGCAGCCGAUGCCGGCCGGUGACUUGGGACUUGGAUGCUUAACAGGAGGCUCCCCCUCUCUUGGGAGGUAGAGAGCAGUGAGGAAGGGGACUCAGCCUCCAUGCCUCCCGCCAGCCCAGCUGCGCCCGAAUCACCUCCCUCCUGAAAGGAUGUCAGCCUCUGCUUGGACACCGUGGAGACAGGGCCCUCCUUGUGCUUCAGAAGCAUCAACGUGUCAGAAAAUCAUCUUCACGCCAAGUCUGGAAAAAAUGGCUUUGAGGUUGUGCACACAAAGGAAGGAGGGAGAGCCCCAGGUGUCGCGGAGGACCAUGCGGCUGACAGAGCCAGCAGGGCGGUGGCGUGUGAGCCGUGCUCUGGAUAUAUAAGGAUCUGACGCUGCUGGCAAUGUCUGAGCUCUAUGCUCGCCCAUCUGUCGGCUGCUAUCAUCACCGGGUGGGAUUAGCGGAGAUCCACUCUUUCAUAUUUAAAUCUUCACAAGAGAAUGAAUCACUUUUAUAAUAAAAGAAAA
rnacentral:lncRNA from 1 species